rnacentral:piRNA from 1 species
CCAUUUUACAGGGAGCUGAUUGGUCCGUU